rnacentral:rRNA from 1 species
AUGGCUUCAUCCGGUUCCAGGACGAGGCCGCUGUGCGCGGACCAAGAGGACAUGCCGAAGACGUGGAUGGAGGCGAGUUUGGACAAGGAGAAGGAGAAGGAUGUGCCCACACCAACAUGUUGGUGUGCUGAUGUUUGCAAGCUGAAGGUGUCCACUGACCGCAACAAGUCAUGGACGGAAGGUAGAAGGUUUUUCGUGUGUCCCAACUAUGCACAUGAUCGUCGAAGGCCAACUAACGCAUAUGACAUACCACCGUCCCCUCCUCCACUUUGCAAGUACUUCACUUGGAUAGAUCACGAGGUACCAAAAGAUGUCCAAGAGGACCAACGUCAAGAUUGGUUACGGAGGCAGCGCCGAUUCGAGGAGUCCUAUGCACGGGGAUUGGAGCGGGAGCGUCGUGAGAAGGAGGCUCGUGAGCGCAAGAAGCGUGAGGAAGAGAGGGCACGCAAAGAGAAGGAGGCUCGUCAACAAGAGAGGGCAAGAAAACUUGCAAGGGCUCGCGAUGCACGAGAGGAGGACGAGGCACGUGACAAGAAGGGAAAGUGGCCCCGUAAUACUCAGUAG